rnacentral:rRNA from 1 species
AUAUCAAUAAGCGGAGGAAAAGAAACCAACAGGGAUUGCCUCAGUAACGGCGAGUGAAGCGGCAACAGCUCAAAUUUGAAAUCUGGCCUUCUGGUCCGAAUUGUAAUUUGUAGAGGAUGCUUCGGGCGUGGUUCAGUCUAAGUUCCUUGGAACAGGACGUCAUAGAGGGUGAGAAUCCCGUAUGCGACUGAGUGCCUAAGCCUAUGUGAAGCUCCUUCGACGAGUCGAGUUGUUUGGGAAUGCAGCUCAAAAUGGGUGGUAAAUUUCAUCUAAAGCUAAAUAUUGGCGAGAGACCGAUAGCGAACAAGUACCGUGAGGGAAAGAUGAAAAGAACUUUGAAAAGAGAGUUAAAAAGUACGUGAAAUUGUUGAAAGGGAACCGUUUGAAGCCAGUCUUGCUUGCUUGUGAUCAAUCUUUGCUUCGGCUUGGAUGCACUCUCAGGUUAUGCAGGUCAACGUCAGUUUGAGAGGUGGGAAAAAAGCUUGAGGAAUGUGGCCUUCGGGUGUUAUAGCCUCUUGCUAAAUACCAUCUUUUGGACUGAGGCUCGCAGCAAAAAUGUGGGCAGGUUUGCGUUUGAGGUGAUACAUUAUUAA